UCCAGCCUGGGCCACAGAGUGAGACUCUGUCUCAAAAAAAUACAAAAAAUAAAUAAAUAAAAUAGCAAAUUCUUACUUGUGUUAUUUAGAGCAUACACACAGUCACAUGUGAAGCAAAUCAUUUAUGUAAUCCCAAGCAUGGAUUAUGAUUUUCUUACUAUGUGGCAUCCCAGAGAGGACGUUUCUGUUUUCAAGUUUUUUUUAAGGUCUCCAUUAAAAGCAUGAAAUUCUCUGAAAGUCACCGCAAGCUGGGCGGCAUGUGUGUGGGACUGUCUGAUCAGUAUGUGGGCCUUGUCUGACCUGAGGAAAGUCCAGUGGGGUCUGAGCUGACUUCCGGCCGCACUCACCUGCUGUAGGGAAGGGUGGAUCAGUGGGUGGAUUAAGUCACUUUCCUAAAUUGUUUCCUCAUCUGUAGAACUGGGAUUGUGUCAACCUCAUCGGCACAGAUUUCUUCAUAACAUUCUUUUUCCAAGUUUCCCUCGAAGAGUUCUUCCAGGAGAUAGGAGCCCGCACGCUUCCACCUCACCAGAACGUCGUUUGCUUUGGAGGCCGGGAGAAGUACUACAGACAAGACAAGACGACAGGUGACUGGGAGCACCCAGGGCCCUGCUUUCCAGAACUGCCUGGCUUCCGCCCCAGCCAGCCGCCAGCCCCUGCCCCCUCGGUCUCCACAGCCUCUCAGCCUGCGAGGGCCUCAGGACCACCCCGCCACCCCCUCCCCCGAGGUAGGCAAGCACUUCAUCCUCUGGGCGAAUGGACCAGCCCCGGGAUCCGUGCAGAUACACUAAGGGUCUGCAGAGAGGCCACGGGCCUCAGUCGGGAAAGUGAAGGAGGGAGGGCUCCAACUGGGUUUUGGGUCCCAGUGCGAAGGAAGGCCGAGCUGGGGUCAAAGGUCACUGUGCUGAGAACUGGGGACCAAGAGCCAUCAGGUCCUGGGCUGCCUCUGUGCACAGGAUUUAACAUCUUGAUAAAACACAAAGAGAAGAAACUUUGCAGCAGGCUCUGCGAUUUCCAGGAGGAGAAGGCAAACCAGUCAGCCCGCGGCAGUCGUUUCGAGAGGCUCUUCCCGCCCAAGGGCCCCAAAGCACGUUCUCUCCCUCUCCCGGAGGGUCAAAGCCCAGGUCCUUCACAUCCUCCCUCCCUUUCUCUCAGUGCUGAGGGUUACAGCAGGGACGGCUCAGCUAAGUCCGGCCACGCUUUCCUGGACGCCUGUGCAGGCAGAGUCAGGAUGGAGUCCGCGUCUGUUCCUCCAGCAAAGCGGCUGGUGGUAGAAGGGUGGCAGGCGGGCAGGGUGGCUGCUCCCUGGCUGUGUCUCCUGACUCAAGACUGAGCACUCCUGGCCAGCCUGGCCAAGGCACUCUCUGCCCACAUUGCAGUCGGGGCUCGGCCUGCCCCACCCCCUCCCCCCUGUCCAAUGCCCAGCCCAGGCCUGGGACCCCCCCUCCUCCCCCCUCCCCGCUCCCCGGCCUUUCCCCACCGAAUCUCCUGCACACACGCUUCUUUCCAUUUGGGCAUCUCUUGGGAGGACCCCAAGUGACACCAUCAUGUCCCAAAUACUUGUCACCAAAUGAUAAAGACCUAAACGGCUUUUUCAGGGGAAUUAAGACAAGUCUGGGCACUCAGGGCUCCUCCGGCUCCUGGGAAAAGUGUCAUCUACAAAUCCACCGUGGACUGAAUCAAGGACACAGCACAGGCACAACAGACAGGGUGGCAGCAGAGAGAACGAGUGCAAGCAGCAGAAAUGCCAGAUGCUUAUAAAACCAUCGAAUCUCAUGAGACUCACUCACUGUCCCAAGAACAGCAUGGCAGAAACCACCCCCAUGGUCCAAUCACCUCCC